rnacentral:lncRNA from 1 species
CUCUUGCUCUCUCUCCAACCCACAAAAUUUGUCUCUCUGUCUCUAACCCCCGAUCUAGAUCCGGCCAACGACGGCGACACAAACCGGUGGAGAGCAAAUUCCUUCAACUCGCCGGUGAAGUUCUUCAGACUUUGAAUCGCUGGUGAAGAUCUAUUUCUUUCAGAUCAUGGGUGAAGUCCUUCAAAUCAAAAAGCGUUUUAGAAGAAUUUAAAGUGAAAUUUUCAUGAGAAAGCAUUAAUUUAGAGGAUUAGAUUGCUGGAUUUGUUUGCACGAGGAAGAAACACACGGUCAUGAUUUGAAGGAAAUUUAGUCCGUGAUUUUUUGAAGGAAAUUCAGUUUUACCUUCAUUUAAAAAUUCAACACAGUGAUGAUUUGCACUUGCAUAGGUUUCUUCCAUCAAUUGGGGUAGUUAAAUUCCACACGGACAUUAUUCUGUUUUUUCCAUUAGGCUUUUUUUUUUUCCCUUUCCUUUUAACAUUGGCCUUGUUCAAUUGAACUCUGCACUUAGUAAUUUUUUACACAGCCAAUAUUGAUUUCGCUCACAUGGUUGUACUACAUUUGUUCGAUGGUGGCAGGAAGGAAUAAAUAUAGCCGAGGAACAUGACUAUUGGUAGAUUUCCCUCGACAUAACUCUACGUAAGGAUUAAAGAGACUCGAAAGACUACGAGAAUGGAAAGAAAGGCGUCAAUAAAAUGUAGCAUUGAACUUCGAUGUAAUUG